AGAGUUUGAUCCUGGCUCAGGACGAACGCUGGCGGCGUGCCUAAUACAUGCAAGUCGUGCGGACUUAUCUUCGGAUAAGUUAGCGGCGGACGGGUGAGUAACACGUGGGCAACCUGCCUGUAAGACUGGGAUAACUCCGGGAAACCGGUGCUAAUACCAGAUACAAUCAAAGACCGCCUGGUCUUUGAUGGAAAGGUCUUGUACCGCUUACAGAUGGGCCCGCGGCGCAUUAGCUAGUUGGUGGGGUAAUGGCCUACCAAGGCGACGAUGCGUAGCCGACCUGAGAGGGUGAUCGGCCACACUGGGACUGAGACACGGCCCAGACUCCUACGGGAGGCAGCAGUAGGGAAUCUUCCGCAAUGGACGAAAGUCUGACGGAGCAACGCCGCGUGAGUGAUGAAGGCUUUCGGGUCGUAAAACUCUGUUGUCAGGGAAGAACAUCCGGGAUAACCUCCCGGUCUGACGGUACCUGAUCAGAAAGCCCCGGCUAACUACGUGCCAGCAGCCGCGGUAAUACGUAGGGGGCAAGCGUUGUCCGGAAUUAUUGGGCGUAAAGCGCGCGCAGGCGGUUUCUUAAGUCUGGUGUGAAAGCCCGCAGCUCAACUGCGGAGGGCCACUGGAAACUGGGAAGCUUGAGUGUAGGAGAGGAGAGCGGAAUUCCACGUGUAGCGGUGAAAUGCGUAGAUAUGUGGAGGAACACCCGUGGCGAAAGCGGCUCUCUGGCCUAUAACUGACGCUGAGGCGCGAAAGCGUGGGGAGCGAACAGGAUUAGAUACCCUGGUAGUCCACGCCGUAAACGAUGAGUGCUAGGUGUUGGGGACUCCAAUCCUCAGUGCCGCAGCUAACGCAAUAAGCACUCCGCCUGGGGAGUACGGCCGCAAGGCUGAAACUCAAAGGAAUUGACGG
rnacentral:rRNA from 1 species